AUUGAUAAAUGUCAUUGUUUUGCAAAUAUUCACUCAUUUUGACUAUGAUGCCUGUGAUACGUUCAAAAACCCUGGGAGACGGGCAGGUUUACCGCUGUGUCACAUCACCUUUUAACAACACUCAAUAAGUGUGUGGGAACUAAUUCAGGGUUUAUACAGGAAUGAGUAACUCUAAUUUAACGCUCUUUUAAUGCUCUUAGAAAUAAUUUUAAUGCCAUCAACAAGUACCCAUGACCUGUGCAGGUGGCUUGGGAUUAUCUUGCUGAAAUAAGAAGGAACGUCCCUGAAAAAAAAACAACAACGUUGCUUUGAUGGCAGCAUAUGUUGCUCCAAAACCUGGAUGUACCUUUCAGUGUUAAUGGCGCCUUCACAGAUGUGUAAGCUACCCACGCCAUGGGCACUAAUGCCCCCCCACUACCAUUACGGAUGCUGGCUUUUUAACUUUGCGCUGAUAAUCCAGAUAGUCCUUUUCCUCUUUGGCCUGGAUGACAUGAUUUCUAAAAACAAUGUGAAAUGUGGACUCAUCAGACCACAGCACACUUCUUCACUUACAAGCACUUCCAGUUCAGUUUAUUCAUGUAGCCCUUUUCCACUGAUGGAGAAAUGCUACAAGGAGGCCGCUUCAUUAGUUUGCACCAUGAAGUCCUCUUCCAUAUUGAUGACCAGACACUACACUGUGGGAGUGUGUGUGUGUGUGCGCAUCCUCAAUAACCACUGCAUCCAUCUCCAUAAUGUAUUCUAUAAUACAUAGUUAUGCAGUUUUAUCAAUAACCAAAUGAAUCCUAAUCCAGAAGCAGCUGUGAUUGCUGCUGGAGACUUUAAUCACUUUGAGUUAAAAGCUGUGCUCCCCAAAUUCCAUAAAUUCAUCAGGUUCCCGACCAGAGACGACAUUAUAUUAGAUCAGCUAUACUGCAACAUCCCAGGAGCAUAAAACGCUGCUGCGUCACAUCUCUGUGGACCUGAUCCCUGCGUACAAACCACUGAUCUGCAGAACCAGACCCGUGAUCAAAACCCAAAAGGUUUGGACUGAAGAGCCCUGCUCAGCUUUACAGGACUGCUUUGAAAACACAGACUGGGGAGUGUUUACACAGGGCGUUGAUUUACAGAGUUACAUAUCAUCUGUGCUGUCAUAUAUUUACUUCUGCACUGAUGCUGUCCUACCCACACAGACAACCAGUAUUUCCUAACCAGAAACCAUGGACAGCUCAGCGUGGUCCCUGCUGAAGGCCCAGGAUUCAGAUCUGGAGACAGACCGGCCGACAGCAGGGCUAGAAGUGAGCUGAAAAAGGCCUCCAGAAGGCAAAGCAAAGGUACAAGCAGCACAGCCUGAUUAUCUCCAGCACUCUGCUCCUGAAUCAGUGACUUCCUCACCUACAGGCCCCAUGGGCUGAGGAUAGGGAAACGCACAUCUGCCCCAUUGUUCCUCAACACAGGAACGCCACAGGGUUGGGUCCUCAGCCCUGCUCUCUUCAUCCUUUUCACCCAGGGCUGUUCUGCUGUCCAUCCCACAAACACAGUGGUGAAGUUCCAACAAAGAGGGUCCAACAACGGCUCCUUUCUCAGGAAGUAGAAACGGACUGGACUUUCCACUAAACUGCUAAAAACCUUUGUAGAGCUACUAAAGAAAGUAUUUUGUGACUGAGCAUAACUGUGUGGUAUGGAAGCUGCAGAGAGCAGGAGAGGAAAGAUUUAGCACGGGGGGUGAGGACCAGCAGAGGGGAUUGUGGGAUGCAGUCCACAGAACCUAGACACGGUUUAUGCUGCAGGAGGCCAGAAAAGGGCCAGACGUAUUACCACAGAUCCCACCCACCCGGGCAAUGCACAAUUAGUCCCACUAACAUCAGGGAAACAAUUCAGGAACAUUAAAUCAAAAACUAGCAGACUUAAAAAAACAGCUUCUUUCCCCAAAGGUGUGAGGGCUAUCGCCCCCCUGCUGAAAACCAACAAACCACCAGUCCAGUAAUCUGUUUCAUG